UACGUAGGGUGCAAGCGUUGUCCGGAAUUAUUGGGCGUAAAGAGCUCGUAGGCGGUUUGUCGCGUCUGCUGUGAAAACUCAGGGCUUAACCCUGAGCCUGCAGUGGGUACGGGCAGACUAGAGUGUGGUAGGGGGAGAUCGGAAUUCCUGGUGUAGCGGUGGAAUGCGCAGGAUAUCAGGAGGAACACCGGUGGCGAAGGCGGAUCUCUGGGCCAUAACUGACGCUGAGGCACGAAAGCGUGGGGAGCAAACAGG
rnacentral:rRNA from 1 species